rnacentral:rRNA from 1 species
AGGGAAUCUUCCACAAUGGACGAAAGUCUGAUGGAGCAACGCCGGGUGAGUGAUGAAGGUUUUCGGAUCGUAAAACUAUGUUGUAAGGGAAGAACCAGUACGUCAGGCAAUGGACGUACCUUGACUGUACCUUAUUAGAAAGCCACGGCUAACUACGUGCCAGCAGCCGCGGUAAUACGUAGGUGGCAAGCGUUGUCCGGAAUUAUUGGGCGUAAAGCGCGCGCAGGUGGUUUCUUAAGUCUGAUGUGAAAGCCCACGGCUUAACCGGGGGGUCAUUGGGAACCGGCGGACUUGAGUGCAGAAGAGGAAAGUGGGAUUCCAAGUGUAGCCGUGAAAUGCGUAGAGAUUUGGAUGAACAACCGUGGCGAAGGCGACUUUCUGGUCUGCAACUUACGCUUAGGCGCGAAAGCAUGGGGAGCAAACA